rnacentral:rRNA from 1 species
AGACGUCUACAUUAGAUACCCCGGUAGUCCCAGCCGUAAACUAUGCGCGUUAGGUGUAUCGGUGACCACGAGUUACCGAGGUGCCGAAGGGAAACCGUGAAACGUGCCGCCUGGGAAGUACGGUCGCAAGGCUGAAACUUAAAGGAAUUGGCGGGGAGCACCACAACAGGUGGAGCCUGCGGUUUAAUUGGACUCAACGCCGGGAAGCUCACCGGAUAGGACAGCAGAAUGAUUGCCGGGCUGAAGACCCUGCAUGACUAGCUG